CAACAACGGCACCGCCGAGUGGCGCUGGCGCGCUGGCAUGAGCGCCGCAUGCGGCGAAAAAUCUCAACGAGCGGGUGUACACCCUCUCCUGUCUCUCCUUCACACCGCCUCGAUUGCCUGCUGCACUGAACGUGUUUGCGCAGGUCUCAUAGCGCGCACGUGCACGAUGUUCACGCUUAGAUCGGCUUUCAAGAAGAUCUGUGCGGUGGACUAACUAUUUUCGCGGCUGCAAUGUGGCGAAAGGGCAGCUUCUGAUUAGCCAUGUAGUUGACGCUGUGCAGUUCGUCGGAGACGACAUCGUCCUCGCCAAGGGGCAGUGCGUUUCGCAAGUCAAGGACGACGUUGUUUACGACGUGGAGUUACAGCUGUCAUGGUCGUGCCCCCUGAAACGAGAGCUUCGCAUUUCCUGCGGCAAGUGCACUUGCAAUGCUGGUGUACGGGGUCAGUGCAAGCAUGCAGUGGCCGUAUGCCUCUACAACAACAGCUAUGAGGAGGACAGCUGCACAAGCCGACCUCAGCAGUGGGGAAAGCCCAGCGCAAAGCCCCGGAUGCAGAGAUCACAACACUUAUCAGAAGUGGUGCCUCAUGGCAUCAGGAGAGGAGGCUUCGCAUCAGCAGUACCAAAGCACACCUGAUUCGGACAAAAAGGGAUGACAAAGGGCUUCAGAAAGCUGCUCAGCAACUCCUGAAAUCCAGCUCCUACAAGAGUGCUGCCAUGUGCUAUGGAAUUACAACUGAAGGCACAGCACGAGAGGACCUGGAGAGAAGGCUUGGAACAAGAAUUGUGCAGACUGGACUGGUGGUUCUUCCUGAGCAACCUUAGCUGUGCUGCAGCCCCGACGGACUUGUACAGCUGGCUAAUGAGACUGUCCUGAUUGAAAUCAAGUG